UUGUUGUCCUUAAGCCACUCUAUGGUGCUACGCUAAGGGACUUUGUCCAUUUGGGUCCACGCUUUAACGUCCUGGCUGAUGUCUUCAGAUGUAGCUUUAAUAUUUCUACAUAAUGACAUCUAUUUUGUGAAGUGCACCAGUCUCUUGCGAAGUAUUCACCAAUCUUCUAAAGGAUUUGGUGGCCAAACAAUUGCAAAGCUACAAAACUUUAAGGAACAUAA